rnacentral:rRNA from 1 species
GACGAACGCUGGCGGCGUGCUUAACACAUGCAAGUCGAACGGAAAGGCCCUGCUUUUGUGGGGUGCUCGAGUGGCGAACGGGUGAGUAACACGUGAGUAACCUGCCCUUGACUUUGGGAUAACUUCAGGAAACUGGGGCUAAUACCGGAUAGGAGCUCCUGCUGCAUGGUGGGGGUUGGAAAGUUUCGGCGGUUGGGGAUGGACUCGCGGCUUAUCAGCUUGUUGGUGGGGUAGUGGCUUACCAAGGCUUUGACGGGUAGCCGGCCUGAGAGGGUGACCGGCCACAUUGGGACUGAGAAACGGCCCAGACUCCUACGGGAGGCAGCAGUGGAGAAUAUUGCGCAAUGGGCGGAAGCCGGAUGCAGCAACGCCGCGUGCGGGAUGACGGCCUUCGGGUUGUAAACCGCUUUCGCCUGUGACGAAGCGUGAGUGACGGUAAUGGGUAAAGAAGCACCGGCUAACUACGU